GGGAGGGACUUUUAUAAGGGCAUGUAGCGACAGGACGAGGAGAAAUGGUUUUAAACUGGAAGAGGGGAGAUUUAGACCAGAUAUUAGGAAGAAAUUCUUUACUGUGAGGGUGGUGAGACACUGGAACAGGUUGCCCAGUGAGGUUGUGGAUGCCCCCUCCCCUGGAAGCACUCGAGAGCAGGCUGCAGGGGGCUGUGAGCAAACAGGGCUAGAGGGAGGUGUUCCUGCCUAUAGCAGCAGGUUGGAACUACAUGGUCUUAAAGGUCCCCUCCAACACAAACCGUUCUGUGAUUCUGCAGUCCUCAGAUGUGCUGAAGGGCUGUGGGUUGGGGCUGUUGGUUGGGUUGGGGCUGUGGGUUGGGGCUGUUGGUUGGGUUGGGGCUGUGGGUUGAGGCUGUUGGUUGGGUUGGGGCUGUGGGUUGGGGCUGUUGGUUGGGUUGGGGCUGUGGGUUGAGGCUGUUGGUUGGUUUGGGGCUGUGGGUUGGGGCUGUUGGUUGGGUUGGGGCUGUGGGUUGGGGCUGUUGGGUGGGUUGGGGCUGUGGGUUGGGGCUGUUGGUUGGGUUGGGGCUAUGGGUUGGGGCUGUUGGUUGGGUUGGGGCUGUGGGUUGAGGCUGUUGGUUGGGUUGGGGCUGUGGGUUGGGGCUGUUGGUUGGGUUGGGGCUGUGGGUUGGGGCUGUUGGUUGGGUUGGGGCUGUGGGUUGAGGCUGUUGGUUGGGUUGGGGCUGUGGGUUGGUCUGGGUGUUCUGAGAUCACAGGCACCCCCAGCUCCGUGCAAGCUGUUGGCUUUGCACUGUGCUCGUGGUAGAGCAGCACCAUAAGAGACCACGGUUCUCCCUGCAAUGGGGUCAGGGCAGCUCAGAGGGGCUGCAGAGGCAGCAGGACAGCCAAGCAGGUGGGGUUUGGGACCCACCGCAGCCGAGAGAAUCACAGAAUGAUACAAUCAUAGAGUGGCCAAGGUUGGAAAAGACCUCCAAGAUCAUCCAGUCCAACCACAUCACCAAAGUUUCCUAUUAAACCAUAUCCCUCAGUACAGCACCUCAGCGUUUUGGGACAUGCACCGUACUGCAGACAUGCAGCCCCGCCGUCAGUGGUGCCAGGAGCCUGCUGGUGGUGGCCAAAAGGGCAGCGUGCGGUCACGCAUCCCCCAUCCU
rnacentral:lncRNA from 1 species